CCUCUGCAAGACCAAAGUGAGGCUCUGGAAGUCUCUUGAGGUGGACACUGAUCCUUCUGAGGUCGUGGAUGAUUUGGACAGAUCUGGGUAUGCCCCAGUGCUUUUAACUCACUGCCGCUCCUUGUAAGUUCAACUCGCUAGACAUGGGGGCAUGAAUUCCUCAUGCUAAGCCC
rnacentral:lncRNA from 1 species